UACGGGGGGGGCAAGCGUUGUUCGGAAUUACUGGGCGUAAAGGGCUACGUAGGCGGCCAACUAAGUCCAGUACGGUGAAAUCCCCCGGCUUAACCCGGGGAACGUGCGUCUGAUACUGGAUGGCUUGAGUUCGGGAGAGGGAUGCGGAAUUCCAGGGUGUAGCGGUGAAAUGCGCAGAUAUCAGGAAGAACACCCGUGGCGAAGGCGGCGUCUCUGGUACGUGACUCGACGGCUGAGACGCGAAAGCGUGGGGAGCGA
rnacentral:rRNA from 1 species